rnacentral:rRNA from 1 species
CAAUAGCGUAUAUUUAAGUUGCUGCAGUUAAAAAGCUCGUAGUUGGAUUUCGGGUGGGAAUGGCCGGUCCGCCGUUUCGGUGUGCACUUGCUACGCCCACCUUGCUGCCGGGGACGUGCUCUUGAGUUCACGCUCGGGACACGGAGUCGGCGAGGUUACUUUGAGUAAAUUAGAGUGUUCAAAGCAGGCCUACGCUCUGAAUACAUUAGCAUGGAAUAACACGAUAGGACUCUGGCCUAUCUUGUUGGUCUGUAGGACCGGAGUAAUGAUUAAGAGGGACAGUCGGGAGCAUUCGUAUUUCAUUGUCAGAGGUGAAAUUCUUGGAUUUAUGAAAGACGAACUACUGCGAAAGCAUUUGCCAAGGAUGUUUUCAUUAA